rnacentral:tRNA from 1 species
AAAAACAAAGCGAUUAUAUUGCAUUCAGUUUCGACCUGAACUUAGAGAAAAUCUGUUUUUA